UAGGGAAUCUUCCACAAUGGACGCAAGUCUGAUGGAGCAACGCCGCGUGAGUGAAGAAGGUUUUCGGAUCGUAAAGCUCUGUUGUUGGUGAAGAAGGAUAGAGGCAGUAACUGGUCUUUAUUUGACGGUAAUCAACCAGAAAGUCACGGCUAACUACGUGCCAGCAGCCGCGGUAAUACGUAGGUGGCAAGCGUUGUCCGGAUUUAUUGGGCGUAAAGCGAGCGCAGGCGGAAUGAUAAGUCUGAUGUGAAAGCCCACGGCUCAACCGUGGAACUGCAUCGGAAACUGUCAUUCUUGAGUGCAGAAGAGGAGAGUGGAACUCCAUGUGUAGCGGUGGAAUCGCGUAGAAGUAUA
rnacentral:rRNA from 1 species